AACGAACGCUGGCGGCAUGCCUAACACAUGCAAGUCGAACGAGACCUUCGGGUCUAGUGGCGCACGGGUGCGUAACGCGUGGGAACCUGCCCUUAGGUUCGGAAUAACUCCCCGAAAGGGGUGCUAAUACCGGAUAAUGUCUUCGGACCAAAGAUUUAUCGCCUUUGGAUGGGCCCGCGUUGGAUUAGCUAGUUGGUAGGGUAAAAGCCUACCAAGGCGACGAUCCAUAGCUGGUCUGAGAGGAUGAUCAGCCACACUGGGACUGAGACACGGCCCAGACUCCUACGGAAGGCAGCAGUGGGGAAUAUGGGACAAUGGGCGAAAGCCUGAUCCAGCAAUGCCGCGUGAGUGAUGAAGGCCUUAGGGUUGUAAAGCUCUUUUACCCGGGAUGAUAAUGACAGUACCGGGAGAAUAAGCUCCGGCUAACUCCGU
rnacentral:rRNA from 1 species